ACGAGUGGUGCAAGCGUUAUUCGGAAUUAUUGGGCGUAAAGGGCGUGUAGGUGGCACGUUAAGUCUGGUGUUAAAAUCUAUAGCUUAACCCGACAGAGGCAAUGGAAACUGGUGUACUUGAGUGCGUAAGAGGAAGCUGGAAUUCUAGGUGUAGCAGUAAAAUGCGUAGAUAUCGGGAAGAACACCGAUGGCGAAGGCGGCCUCUUAUACCAUACCUGACACUGAGGCGCGAAAGCGUGGGGAGCAAACAG
rnacentral:rRNA from 1 species